CGGGGCGGGCGGAGGGCUCGGGAGGCGCAGGGGACUGGAAGAGUUGGCUGCGCCCAGGCACCAGGUGGAAGAAUUUCCAUACCAGCCCUGCGGAGGUGCCUCUGUUUCCAGAGGCGUUUUUGUACGAAGGGCAUUUUGAAAGCGAAGCAGAAGCCGUAGAAUCAGCGGCGAGCCUGUUGAAAGAACCCACAGGUGCAUUUCACAGCACUCUGGGCGAAAAUUGGAUGUGAAAAUGAAGCCAGACCGAGAAACGAGGUCUCACUCUGUUGCUCAGCCUGGUCUUAAACUCAUGUCCUCAAGCAAUCUUCCUGUAUCAGCCUCCUAAAGUCUGGAAUUACAAGCAUGAGCCACCAUGCCUGGCCUCCACUAUCCCUUUCUGUUUGUGGUGGUCUCCUAUAUUUUGAGUUUGAAUGGGAAGGGAGCAUGCAUGUUUGAUGGUUUGUUUUGUUUUUGUGAAUGAAGAAUGAAAAUUUAUUCCCAUUAAGUGCGAGCUUCAAUUGAGGCACUCAGUUUAUGAGGUCUUACUGAUGUUUCCUCUCUUAGGUGCUGUAGUUAAAAUCUUGCUGGUCUAAAAUGGUGAAAACUAUUGAGGUAUUCAAAUGAUAAGUACUUUAUAAACUGAAAUUGCAUUGAAAACGGAGAGCUCUUGACAGAAAGGUUGACUCUAGCAUUUAUAUAAGGAAAAAGACAACUAUUAUCUCCCUCUACACAGAAAGCUAUAUUCAGUAGUUAUAGGAUUUGUACAUUGUGAAUCCUUAGGGAUCUCUAAACAUCUGUGUCUUUAGAAGUAGUGUCACCUCUAGUAAAAGAGGGCCAGUAGAAUUGAGUGGUGGCAGCCUGUGAUGUAUAUGAAUUUUGGCUGUACGUCUCUAGCGACUAUUUUCUCCAACUCUAUUUAGUAAAAUUCUACCUAAUU
rnacentral:lncRNA from 1 species